rnacentral:tRNA from 1 species
UUAGAAAGUAGCAUAAUUUAAUGUAGUAGAUUUUUAAUUUAUAGAUGAGUAUUAUAUACUUUUUUCUAAG